CCACCCCUGUUCUCUGUUUACAAUUACACACAACAUUUUGUUCAAAUUCUCCUCCACCGCCAAACCUCACCCCAUCGCCACAGAUCGCCACAUCUACAUCGUCGAUGAUCCUCCUCCUUCUCCUCCGCAUAUGCCUCCGCCGAAUCUGAGAAGAUCGUCGAGAUCUGAAUUAGAUUUGAGUCCUAGGCCAAGAUCUGACCGUUGUGAGCGAUCCGCAGCGACACAAUGGCUUCCAAAUCCUACAACAAGAUCAUCGAUAUCUACGACGACCUCAUCCUUCAGAGCUUCAAGCAUUUCGAUUUCGUCUAAAGGAAUUGAUUGUGAUUGAUGAUCUUCUGUCUUCUUUGGUUGGAAUUGAAGGACGAUACGCUUCAAUCAAAAGAGUUCGAGGGAAGGAUGUUAAUUUUGCCUUCCAGCUUGAUGCAUCUAUGGAUUUAGCACUUCAAGUUAGAAUGCUUUCUUUGUGGUCUUCAGAUCUGGUGGUUUAAGUAAAUUGACACUUUUGUAAAAAUUGAUCUAGUUUAAGUAAAAAUUGUAAAAAUUGAUGUUCAUUUUGAUGUUUAAGUAAAAACAAGAUCAAAAAUUGACACCAAAAAUUGACACUUCAGGUUAGAAAUAUUUUAUUUGUAAUUUGUGAUGUUCAUUUUGAACUUCCUUGCUUUAUAUCAUGGACUGGAAUGAAGAUUUUGGGUUUUACCGUUGUAUUGUUGAAUUUCAAAGUUUAAGGGAAUAUCUAUUAUUAUGUAUAUAUUGGUGCAGUGGUGUGGUGUGGUGUGGUGAUGGACUACACAAUGGUCCCGUAACUCCCCCAACUGGAUGAAGCUGGAUUCAAUGCCAGGCUUGUAGUAUCACAUUGAGAGACUUGCUAUUGGAUUUUCACUAAGAGUGUGAUUGGGUAUGAAAAUAGGUGUUCAAUCUACCAGUUAUAAAAAAUAAAAUAAUUAAAACAAAAUCAUUUGAGAUGCUUAUUUUCUGCAUAUGUAGUUACUGAUAUUUGCUCCAUUCAUAACUCUAAAGUUAGGUGAUCAUAAUGUCAUUACUUCUAUCAAGUUUCCUUGUAAGUACUACAGGUUUUGACCUAGGUAAAGAGCAAAUUUGAAAUGUGGUCUUAUAAGUACUACAGGUUCAAGUAAUUUUAAUUAUUAUGGUGUGUUCCCGUUGAGAGGUAAAUUGCUUAAUGUGAGGGAAGCAAGCCAUAAACAGAUCAUGGAGAACGUUGAAAUUCAGAGCAUCAAGCAGAUUCUUGGACUUCAGCAUGGAAAACAGUAUGACAGUGUGAAGACUUUGAGAUACGGUCAUUUGAUGAUCAUGAUUGAUCAGCCAGGGAUAUGCAUAUGGUAUGAGAAGUUUCCAGCUCUCAAAUUCAGAGAUUUGUUUCUUACAUGAGAAAGUUGUGCAGGAUACGAAUCCAUUGCUACCUGUGAAAAUGGUUGAACAUCUCAAAAAGGGCAUUAGAGCUUGGGGACAGAUGGUGCACGUUGAAAAAAUUAGUGCCAGGGUUGCCUGCCAUGUUGAAAUCCCAAAUGAACUGUCAGAGAAAAUGAAAUCUGCUCUGAAAUGUAUUGGAAUUACUAGGUUCUAUAGCCACCAGGUAUGGAUGUUAUCUUGAACUGCAAUCCUUUUCUGAGCCAAAAUUCUGAAUGAACUUUAAUCCUUCUGGUAUCUGCAAGCGGAGUCUGUUCGGGCUUCCCUUGCUGGCAAGCAUGUAGUUGUGGCAACAAUGACAUCCAGUGGGAAAUCUCUUUGCUACAAUCUGCCAGUACUAGAAAUAUUGUCCCAGAAUUUGUUAGCGUGUGCUCUGUACCUCUUUCCGACAAAGGUUCACAGGAAUAGAUCUCAUGCGUUAAUUUUAUUGUAUUAUUCUUGGUGAUGUGCCUUGGUUCUACUGAAUAAAAUUGAAUUACAAAAUGCCUUGGUUCUACUGAAUAAAAUUGAAUAAAAUCGGGUGUCAAUAAGAAAGGAGAUGCUGUUGGACAGUUAAAAACAUCCAAACCAGCUGAACCUGAAGACGUUGAGCCGGCUGAUAUAAGUCUUGAAGAGAUUGAAAGCAGAAUAGGUUCUCUUAUAAAUGCUGAUAGUGUUUCACAAUUGAAGAGUGCUGUAUGGAAAGAAUGGCUGGAAGGUGAUCGAUAUGCUUGGACCUAGUUUAUGGGAUGUUUGGAAUAACAACUCCCACGCGAUGUCCAUUGAAAUGGUUGCCUGCAUUGCCAUUGAAGCAAUCUCUAUAUUAGAGAAGAUGCACUCCAGAGGCAGCCAGGUGGCGUGAUGGUUCUACUGGUCUACAUGUUGAUUAUGAUCAACGGCCAGAUGUUUUUAGGUACCCAAUAUUUACAGCAAUCCUAUAAAGUGAGCGAGUCAUUUCCAUUCAAGUGGAUAAAUAAAAAAUGGAGGGAAGGAUUCUAUGUAAUUGCCAUGGCUACUGCAGGAAGUAGAUGGGCAAUUGUCAUGUCUCGUGGGGCAGGAUUUUCUGAUCAGGUUCAGUUAUGAUUUUUGGAGCUUUGCUCAGUUAGAAAGCCAAUUUUCUGGUGAAGAAAACUCAUGGUAAAUUGUACAAGACUACUUGGCAGUAUAAGCAUUUUUGGGAGGAUUAAAUAUUUUUGGAUGGAUGUGUAUGGAUAACAAAUAUUAGUAGUUUUAUUUGUUGAUAGCUGCGCAUGGAUAACAAAUAGUUAUGUUUCAAAUUGUUAUGCUAGAUGGAUGUGACUUGUG